rnacentral:rRNA from 1 species
AUUGAACGCUGGCGGCAUGCCUUACACAUGCAAGUCGAACGGCAGCACGGACUUCGGUCUGGUGGCGAGUGGCGAACGGGUGAGUAAUGUAUCGGAACGUACCUUUCAGUGGGGGAUAACGUAGCGAAAGUUACGCUAAUACCGCAUAUUCUGUGAGCAGGAAAGCAGGGGAUCGAAAGACCUUGCGCUGAUUGAGCGGCCGAUAUCAGAUUAGCUAGUUGGUGGGGUAAAGGCCUACCAAGGCAACGAUCUGUAGCGGGUCUGAGAGGAUGAUCCGCCACACUGGAACUGAGACACGGUCCAGACUCCUACGGGAGGCAGCAGUGGGGAAUUUUGGACAAUGGGGGCAACCCUGAUCCAGCCAUGCCGCGUGAGUGAAGAAGGCCUUCGGGUUGUAAAGCUCUUUCGGCCGGGAAGAAAUCGCAUAGGCUAAUACCCUGUGUGGAUGACGGUACCGGAAUAAGAAGCACCGGCUAACUACGUG